GGGGAUAUACUCAAGAGGCUGAAGAGGCGCCCCUGCUAAGGGUGUAGGUCGGGAAACCGGCGCGAGGGUUCGAAUCCCUCUGUCCCCG
rfam:Weissella halotolerans DSM 20190 Scaffold3, whole genome shotgun sequence.